rnacentral:rRNA from 1 species
AUUGAACGCUGGCGGCAGGCCUAACACAUGCAAGUCGAGCGGAUGAAGGGAGCUUGCUCCUGGAUUCAGCGGCGGACGGGUGAGUAAUGCCUAGGAAUCUGCCUGGUAGUGGGGGAUAACGUCCGGAAACGGGCGCUAAUACUGCAUACGUCCUGCGGGAGAAAGUGGGGGAUCUUCGGACCUCACGCUAUCAGAUGAGCCUAGGCCGGAUUAGCUAGUUGGUGGGGUAAAGGCCUACCAAGGCGACGAUCCGUAACUGGUCUGAGAGGAUGAUCAGUCACACUGGAACUGAGACACGGUCCAGACUCCUACGGGAGGCAGCAGUGGGGAAUAUUGGACAAUGGGCGAAAGCCUGAUCCAGCCAUGCCGCGUGUGUGAAGAAGGUCUUCGGAUUGUAAAGCACGUUAAGUUGGGAGGAAGGGCAGUAAGUUAAUACCUUGCUGUUUUGACGUUACCAACAGAAUAAGCACCGGCUAACUUCGUG